rnacentral:rRNA from 1 species
UACGGAGGGGGCUAGUGUUGUUCGGAAUUACUGGGCGUAAAGGGCUCGUAGGCGGCCAACUAAGUCGGACGUGAAAUCCCCAGGCUCAACCUGGGAACUGCGUCCGAUACUGGAUGGCUUGAAUCCGGGAGAGGGAUGCAGAAUUCCAGGUGUAGCGGUGGAAUGCGUAGAUAUCUGGAGGAAUACCGGUGGCGAAGGCAGCAUCCUGGACCGGCAUUGACGCUGAGGAGCGAAAGCCAGGGGAGCAAACGGG